UACGUAGGGGGCUAGCGUUGUCCGGAAUCAUUGGGCGUAAAGGGCUCGUAGGCGGCCAACUAAGUCAGACGUGAAAUCCCCAGGCUCAACCUGGGAACUGCGCCUGAUACUGGAUGGCUUGAAUCCGGGAGAGGGAUGCAGAAUUCCAGGUGUAGCGGUGAAAUGCGUAGAUAUCUGGAGGAAUACCGGUGGCGAAGGCGGCAUCCUGGACCGGCAUUGACGCUGAGGAGCGAAAGCCAGGGGAGCAAACGGG
rnacentral:rRNA from 1 species